AGUGAACGCUGGCGGUAGGCCUAACACAUGCAAGUCGAACGGCAGCACAGUAAGAGCUUGCUCUUACGGGUGGCGAGUGGCGGACGGGUGAGGAAUACAUCGGAAUCUACUUUUUCGUGGGGGAUAACGUAGGGAAACUUACGCUAAUACCGCAUACGACCUACGGGUGAAAGCAGGGGAUCUUCGGACCUUGCGCGAUUGAAUGAGCCGAUGUCGGAUUAGCUAGUUGGCGGGGUAAAGGCCCACCAAGGCGACGAUCCGUAGCUGGUCUGAGAGGAUGAUCGGCCACACUGGAACUGAGACACGGUCCAGACUCCUACGGGAGGCAGCAGUGGGGAAUAUUGGACAAUGGGCGCAAGCCUGAUCCAGCCAUACCGCGUGGGUGAAGAAGGCCUUCGGGUUGUAAAGCCCUUUUGUUGGGAAAGAAAAGCAGCAGGUUAAUACCCCGCUGUUCUGACGGUACCCAAAGAAUAAGCACCGGCUAACUUCGUA
rnacentral:rRNA from 1 species